rnacentral:sRNA from 1 species
CAACUGUCAAAAUUAGAUUUAUAUUUUUAUAAAAUGUUUUAAUUGAAUUCAAAUAUUUAAAAAAUUAAACCAAUUUAAUCUUGUACAUUAAGAUCACACAAACAACCUUAAUUUACGUUGAAUUGUAAUUUUGAAAAGAAAAUCUGUGAUUAUGUAUUAAAUUUAAUGGAUGAUGUGUUUUAUAAUCAUAUUUCCAUGUUUUCCCUCCAUCCAAUCAUCACCUUUCACCACUGCACUCAACCUUUCCCCAAUUCUGUUCUUUUUUUUCUUGGUGGGUUUCGAAUCCCAAUCACCAACCCAAAUAUCCUAAAAAUUUGAAAUCCCCUUUCCACACUGAUGUAAGUGUUUCUAGCAAAAUGAGUUUUGGCAGAGCGAGUAAGGUUUCUUGAUUCUGGAACACCUCCAACUAUCUUACCGACAUACUUUUUAUGAUCGUGUGGUGGUUGAAGUGAAGAACCAGGUUGCCAUGAAACCUGUCGGGGAUGAUCCUAAUUUGGGUACCCAACUUUGCUAUCGAACAAAGAAUAAUCUUCUUGUUCCCGCAAACGCAAAGGUGGCCGCCGGAGACGCGAUGAUUUCUCGUUGCAAUGGGUGGCCUUUGUCACGCGAUCUAGUUUAGUCCUGGAUCAUGGCGUGGAUGAUCUGUUUUUCUUUCUACAGCAGCUCCAUACCGUAUUCGCGACAAGCCUGCGGCUUUUCGUGUCGCAACAGUGGUGUCUCUCUCCAGUAACGAUGCCCCAAAUCCCCUUUUCAUACUCUCCCAAUUUCCGAUCAAUAAUCGAAUUAGGGUUUUCAAAAAGUCUUCCCCUUUUUUCUUUUGUGCCUCUUUGAUUCCCCUUGGAAGCAAUCACCUUAGCCGGUAGAUAUUACAUUCUUCAUGGUUGAUCAUGACUAGUGAUGACUGAUGAGGUUGAGAUGUUGUGUGGGUGACGAGCAAGGAAGCUUCUAGGGUUUUUUUGGAAACAUUUUCAGAAUAGGAAGGUUGCUUUCAUAAUCUUUUUAUUUAUUUUUACUUUACUAAUUUUCAUGUUAUAAUUUAAUUAUUUUCACGUAAUAAAAUAUUUACUUUAUCCAGU